rnacentral:rRNA from 1 species
GUAGGGGCCAAGCGUUAUCCGGAUUUAUUGGGCGUAAAGAGCUCGUAGGCGGCUUAGCAAGUCGGCCGUGAAAGUCCGAGGCUCAACCUCGGAAUGCCGGUCGAAACUGCUAUGGCUAGGGUUCGGUAGAGGAGAGUGGAAUUCUCGGUGUAGCGGUGAAAUGCGCAGAUAUCGAGAGGAACACCAGUAGCGAAGGCGGCUCUCUGGGCCGAUACCGACGCUGAGGAGCGAAAGCGUGGGGAGCAAACAGGGAUUAGAUACCCUGGUAGUCCACGCCGUAAACGGUGAUCACUAGAUGUGGCGGACUCAUUGACGUCUGCCGUGUCGGAGCUAACGCAUUAAGUGAUCCGCCUGGGAGUACGGCCGCAAGGCUA